AGAGAUUUGGAAGACCUGUGAAUUGGAGUAAGGGAGACUCCCUUCCCCACAGUAUCUAAGGACCAAGGGUAGCCUCAUCUAAGGGGGAUGAGGUGAAGAGUGGUGGUGCUUUGGCAAGUUCAAUACAAAGAAAUAUUGUGCUGGCAUUCUCAUGGUGUAGAUGACCUCAGGACUGAACUGUACAAGGGAAAAACAGGUCUCUGUUGACUGGAAUGCACAUUUUCUUGAAUCAGCUAUAUAGAGAGAGAGGACCAGGUGUGACCCCACCUAGCAGCCUAGACCCCACACAAUGGCCUGGACACUUUGUAACUUAGCAACUGAUGACCUGAAGGUCCACCCCAACUUGGAAGCCAGCCAGUUUUGGCCAGUGGGAGAACAAAGGGCUGAAGAGAGAGCCACCAAGUGAUCUGUUUGCCCAGGAAAGAAGACAAAGGAUGGAGGAGAGGUUUUUGGGGAGGUGAUAUAGUGUGGUAGUUUUACAAUGCUGGCCAAGAGUCACUCCAGUCUAAAGAGGUCAGGGGUGUGGAAGCCUCCCGGAAUGGACUCACUGAGGGGAACUCAUGGAGUGAGGCGGGCAUGUUGAAGGCUCAGAGGUGCAGCCCCAGGAGGCAGUGGUGUCAAAGGGCUUACCCCAGAGAGAGUGUGUGAUCCAAAGGAGGAUUAUCACUCUAAAGGGGGUCUUCCCAGGGACCAUUACAGAGCCAUGGGAGAGCACCAGACCUGUGGUUUCAUGAUAACGUGCCUCCCAGCCCCAAAUUCCUACUCAUAAAUACACCUUAGGAAAACACAACUAAGAAACAAGCAACAACCUUAUGAAAUGUAGUACUAAACUGAGCUUAUUCCUUAUCAAGACUGACAUGAUUGAUUUCCCUUUUCCCAUCCCUUCAAUAGGCUUUGUACAAUGUUUGCUUCUGGUAUCAGAUUCACAUUUGGGUUCACUCUAGAAAUAAUGUAGUCAUUUCUAAGCAGUUGCUUUAUUAAAAGACAAAACAA